rnacentral:rRNA from 1 species
UACGUAGGGUGCAAGCGUUGUCCGGAGUUAUUGGGCGUAAAGAGCUCGUAGGCGGCCUGUUGCGUCCGCUGUGAAAGCCCGGGGCUUAACCCCGGGUCGGCAGUGGAUACGGGCAGGCUAGAGGUAGGUAGGGGAGAAUGGAAUUCCCGGUGUAGCGGUGAAAUGCGCAGAUAUCGGGAGGAACACCGGUGGCGAAGGCGGUUCUCUGGGCCUUACCUGACGCUGAGGAGCGAAAGCGUGGGGAGCGAACAGG